rfam:Cucumis melo, WGS project CAJI01000000 data, contig: 02442
GGGUGCGAUCAUACCAGCACUAAUGCACCGGAUCCCGUCAGAACUCUGUAGUUAAGCAUGCUUGGGCGAGAGUAGUACUAAGUUGGGUGAGACCACUUGGUAAGUCCUCGUGUUGCACCCC